AGAGUUUGAUCAUGGCUCAGGACGAACGCUGACGGUGUGCUUUAGGCAUGCAAGUCGAACGAGAAAGCCCUUCGGGGUGAGUAAAGUGGCGAACGGGUGAGUAACACGUGGGCAACCUGCCCCUCGCAGGGGGACAACCGGAGGAAACUCCGGCUAAUACCCCGUACGCUUGUUGGGUCGCAUGGCUCGGCAAGGAAAGGUAGCUUCGGCCAUCCGGCGAGGGAUGGGCCCGCGUUGCAUUAGCUAGUUGGUGGGGUAACGGCCCACCAAGGCAACGAUGCGUAGCUGGUCUGAGAGGAUGAUCAGCCACACUGGGACUGAGACACGGCCCAGACUCCUACGGGAGGCAGCAGCCAGGAAUCUUGGGCAAUGGGCGAAAGCCUGACCCAGCAACACCGUGUGGGCGACGAAGGCCUUAGGGUCGUAAAGCCCUGUUGAUAGGGACGAAGGGCGAAGGGUUAAUAGCCCCUAGCUUGACGGUACCUUUCGAGGAAGCCCCGGCUAACUACGUGCCAGCAGCCGCGGUAAUACGUAGGGGGCGAGCGUUGUCCGGAAUUAUUGGGCGUAAAGAGCGUGUAGGCGGUUCGGUAAGUCUGCUGUGAAAUCCUGGGGCUCAACCCCGGGCGUGCAGCGGAUACUGCCGGGCUAGAGGAUGGUAGAGGCGAGUGGAAUUCCGAGUGUAGCGGUGAAAUGCGCAGAUAUUCGGAGGAACACCAGUAGCGAAGGCGGCUCGCUGGGCCAUUCCUGACGCUGAGACGCGAAAGCGUGGGGAGCGAACAGGAUUAGAUACCCCGGUAGUCC
rnacentral:rRNA from 1 species